rnacentral:rRNA from 1 species
GACGAACGCUGGCGGCGUGCUUAACACAUGCAAGUCGAACGCUGAAGCCUAGCUUUUGUUGGGUGGAUGAGUGGCGAACGGGUGAGUAACACGUGAGUAACCUGCCCCCUUCUUUGGGAUAACGCCCGGAAACGGGUGCUAAUACUGGAUAUUCACUGAUCUUCGCAUGGGGGUUGGUGGAAAGGUUUUUUCUGGUGGGGGAUGGGCUCGCGGCCUAUCAGCUUGUUGGUGGGGUGAUGGCCUACCAAGGCUUUGACGGGUAGCCGGCCUGAGAGGGUGACCGGUCACAUUGGGACUGAGAUACGGCCCAGACUCCUACGGGAGGCAGCGGUGGGGAAUAUUGCACAAUGGGCGAAAGCCUGAUGCAGCGACGCCGCGUGAGGGAUGGAGGCCUUCGGGUUGUAAACCUCUUUCGCUCAUGGUCAAGCCGCAACAUUGGUUGUGGUGAGGGUAGUGGGUAAAGAAGCGCCGGCUAACUACGUGCCAGCAGCCGCGGUAAUACGUAGGGCGCGAGCGUUGUCCGGAAUUAUUGGGCGUAAAGGGCUUGUAGGCGGUUGGUCGCGUCUGCCGUGAAAUCCUCUGGCUUAACUGGGGGCGUGCGGUGGGUACGGGCUGACUUGAGUGCGGUAGGGGAGACUGGAACUCCUGGUGUAGCGGUGGAAUGCGCAGAUAUCAGGAAGAACACCGGUGGCGAAGGCGGGUCUCUGGGCCGUUACUGACGCUGAGGAGCGAAAGCGUGGGGAGCGAACAGG